rnacentral:rRNA from 1 species
AGACUCCUACGGGAGGCAGCAGUGGGGAAUAUUGCACAAUGGGCGCAAGCCUGAUGCAGCCAUGCCGCGUGUAUGAAGAAGGCCUUCGGGUUGUAAAGUACUUUCAGUAGGGAGGAAGGUGGUUAAGUUAAUACCUUAAUCAUUUGACGUUACCUACAGAAGAAGCACCGGCUAACUCCGUGCCAGCAGCCGCGGUAAUACGGAGGGUGCAAGCGUUAAUCGGAAUUACUGGGCGUAAAGCGCAUGCAGG